rnacentral:rRNA from 1 species
GACGAACGCUGGCGGCGUGCCUAACACAUGCAAGUCGAACGGGGUUUUAAGAAGGAAAGCUUCGGCAGGAAUUCUUAAAAUCCAGUGGCGGACGGGUGAGUAACGCGUGAGGAACCUGCCUCAAAGAGGGGGAUAACAACGAGAAAUCGUUGCUAAUACCGCAUAAGACCACGCUCCCGCAUGGGAGAGGGGUCAAAGCUCCGGCGCUUUGAGAUGGACUCGCGUCCCAUUAGGUAGUUGGUGAGGUAACGGCCCACCAAGCCGACGAUGGGUAGCCGAGCUGAGAGGCUGAUCGGCCACACUGGGACUGAGACACGGCCCAGACUCCUACGGGAGGCAGCAGUGGGGAAUAUUGGGCAAUGGGCGCAAGCCUGACCCAGCAACGCCGCGUGAAGGAUGAAGGUUUUCGGAUUGUAAACUUCUGUCCUCAGGGACGAAAUCAAUGACGGUACCUGAGGAGGAAGCCCCGGCUAACUACGUG